UAGGGAAUCUUCGGCAAUGGACGAAAGUCCGACCGAGCAACGCCGCGUGAGUGAAGAAGGUUUUCGGAUCGUAAAACUCUGUUGUUAGAGAAGAACAAGGACGUUAGUAACUGAACGUCCCCUGACGGUAUCUAACCAGAAAGCCACGGCUAACUACGUGCCAGCAGCCGCGGUAAUACGUAGGUGGCAAGCGUUGUCCGGAUUUAUUGGGCGUAAAGCGAGCGCAGGCGGUUUCUUAAGUCUGAUGUGAAAGCCCCCGGCUCAACCGGGGAGGGUCAUUGGAAACUGGGAGACUUGAGUGCAGAAGAGGGGAGUGGAAUUCCAUGUGUAGCGGUGAAAUGCGUAGAUAUAUGGGGGAACACCAGUGGCGAAGGCGGCUCUCUGGUCUGUAACUGACGCUGAGGCUCGAAAGCGUGGGGAGCAAACAGG
rnacentral:rRNA from 1 species